rnacentral:rRNA from 1 species
UACGAAGGGUGCAAACGUUGCUCGGAAUUAUUGGGCGUAAAGCGCACGUAGGCGGCGCUGCAAGUCCCAUGUGAAAUCCCACGGCUCAACCGUGGAAGUGCAUGGGAAACUGCAGUGCUUGAGUACUUAAGAGGAUCGCGGAAUUCCCGGUGUAGAGGUGAAAUUCGUAGAUAUUCGGAAGAACACCAGUGGCGAAGGCGGCUCACUGGCCCGGUACUGACGCUGAGGUGCGAAAGCGUGGGGAGCAAACAGG